rnacentral:lncRNA from 1 species
GUCAGCAGCAAGUUCUAUGACCCUUCUUACUAAAUAACGGACUUGUAAUGAUGAUUGGUAAUGAUAUUCGUAAUAUUUGCUUGCUUAGGAUACUGUUCAUAGACAAUGGCAGAUCAUUAUUAGGAAGCUUGGGAGAGAGACAACCUUAAUUAGAAAAAAAAAGUGACAUUGUUUCAAAAUUAGCUAUUUCUCCUCAGAAAACAGAUCCUGGAGUCACCAUGUGUAGGUCCAUCAUCUGCCAGCUUGGUGCCCAGCUGUCCAACAGCAGGGAAUAGGUGUGGGUGGUUAGGGUCUGGCGGCCGGAAGAUGUCUCGCUGUACGGACAGGUGGAGCCCCUCCCCUGAUGGGCAGUAGGGCGUUGUUUGUGACCGAGCGGCCUGGGGUUGGUCGCCGGGCCGUUCCUGAACCAGUGCUAUAAUUUCCUCUGCUCUUGAAGAGGAGGACUUCAAGUGGCAGAAAGGAGGUGCAAGAACAGAUUUUGCAAUUCUCUUCCUACUAAACUGGCAGAUAAAGCUUUGUUACUCACAAGUUCAUAGAAAGGAAGCGCAGUUUGUCAUUAAUAGCAUGUACCAGGAGCUGCAACUGAAGUUCUCAAGUCUUCAUGAAGAUGCCUGUGCUUGCUCAGAUCUCCCAGUGCCAUGUGAUUCCAGGUCUUCUGUCCCAGAAAGGCACCUUGCCAGGAGCUGCACUGCCACACCACAGUAAACAUGUUUCAGCUUGUUUUGUUUUAAUAUUAAAACAGUAAACCUGUAAUUGCUGUCUCAUUGGAGGAUUUAUCAUAUCCACCUUUAGAACUCCACAGUGAGAGUUGUUAUUCUCUUCCCAGUCCUCACUCAACAUUGCAACAAUUUCUGCUGUAGAGGUUGACAUGAAUUUAUUUGGGAGGACAUUAAUGCAUUUCUUGGGUCCCUCAGAGCCACUGCAGCUUUUUGCUUCUUCCCCUAAGGAAACUAUCUCGCCCCUGAUCGCUGGCCAAUGGAGAAACAAAUACAU